GGCCUCAAAUCAAGCAAGACUACCCGCUGAACUUAAGCAUAUCAGUAAGCGGGGGAAAAGAAACUAACAAGGAUUCCCCUAGUAACGGCGAGUGAAGCGGGAAUAGCUCAAAUUUAAAAUCUCGGCGUUUUACGUCGCGAAUUGUAGUCUAAAGAGGGUGAUCUAGGGUUGGUGGUGUGCUCAAGUCCCUUGGAAUAGGGCGCCAGAGAGGGUGAGAGCCCCGUAACAGCACAUUGCCGGCCUCAAGUGAGAACCUCUCAACGAGUCGAGUUGUUUGGGAAUGCAGCUCAAAGUGGGUGGUAAAUCUCAUCUAAGGCUAAAUACUGGCAAGAGACCGAUAGCGAACAAGUACCGUGAGGGAAAGAUGAAAAGCACCUUGAAAAGGGAGUUAAAUAGUGCGUGAAAUUGUUAAAAGGGAAACGA
rnacentral:rRNA from 1 species